rnacentral:rRNA from 1 species
CCUACGGGUGGCAGCAGUGAGGAAUAUUGGUCAAUGGGCGGGAGCCUGAACCAGCCAAGCCGCGUGAGGGAAGAAGGUACAGCGUAUCGUAAACCUCUUUUGUCAGGGAACAAAGGCGGGGACUAGUCCCCGGAUGAGGGUACCUGAAGAAAAAGCAUCGGCUAACUCCGUGCCAGCAGCCGCGGUAAUACGGAGGAUGCGAGCGUUAUCCGGAUUUAUUGGGUUUAAAGGGUGCGUAGGCGGGUUGUCAAGUCAGCGGUAAAAUCCCGGGGCUCAACCCCGGCGAGCCGUUGAAACUGGCGAGCUGGAGUGGGCGAGAAGUACGCGGAAUGCGCGGUGUAGCGGUGAAAUGCUUAGAUAUCACGCAGAACCCCGAUUGCGAAGGCAGCAUACCGGCUCCACACUGACGCUGAGGCACGAAAGCGUGGGUAUCGAACAGGAUUAGAUACCCGUGUAGUC